rnacentral:miRNA from 1 species
UGAAUGGCGCCACUAGGGUUGUGC